rnacentral:rRNA from 1 species
CUGUCCAGGUGUCUAAAACACACCUGAAGAAAGGGCCGGGCAAGACCGGUGCCAGCCGCCGCGGUAAUACCGGCGGCUCGAGUGGUGGCCGCUUUUAUUGGGCUUAAAGCGUUCGUAGCUGGGUCGUUAAGUCUCUUGGGAAAUCCGGCAGCUCAACUGUCGGGCGUCUAAGAGAUACUGGCGAUCUUGGAACCGGGAGAGGUGAGGGGUACUUCGGGGGUAGGAGUGAAAUCCUGUAAUCCUCGAGGGACCACCUGUGGCGAAGGCGCCUCACCAGAACGGCUUCGACAGUGAGGGACGAAAGCUGGGGGAGCAAACCGGAUUAGAUACCCGGGUAGUCCCAGCCGUAAACAAUGCGCGUUAGGUGA